rnacentral:piRNA from 1 species
UUGCAGAAUUUCUCUUCUAACAGGGGUAGC